CAGUCGUGGGGCAGCGCGGGUAGCAAUACCUGGCGGCGACCGGCAAACGGGUGCGGAACACGUACGCCACCUUCCUUUAAGUGGGGGAUAGCUUUCGGAAACGAAAAUUAAUACCCCGUAAUAUUAUGAUGUGGCAUCACAUUAUACUUAUAGCUCCGGCGCUUAAAGAUGGGCGUGCGCCUGAUUAGGUAGUUGGCGGGGUAACGGCCCACCAAGCCUACGAUCAGUAACUGGUGUGAGAGCACGACCAGUCACACGGGCACUGAGACACGGGCCCGACUCCUACGGGAGGCAGCAGUAAGGAAUAUUGGUCAAUGGACGCAAGUCUGAACCAGCCAUGCCGCGUGGAGGAUGAAGGUCCUCUGGAUUGUAAACUUCUUUUAUCUGAGAAGAAACCCUUGAAUUCUUUCGAGGCUGACGGUACCAGAUGAAUAAGCACCGGCUAACUCCGUGCCAGCAGCCGCGGUAAUACGGAGGGUGCAAGCGUUAUCCGGAUUCACUGGGUUUAAAGGGUGCGUAGGUGGGUUGGUAAGUCCGUGGUGAAAUCUCCGAGCUUAACUCGGAAACUGCCGUGGAUACUAUCAAUCUUGAAUAUCGUGGAGGUAAGCGGAAUAUGUCAUGUAGCGGUGAAAUGCUUAGAUAUGACAUAGAACACCGAUAGCGGAGGCAGCUUACUACGCGAUUAUUGACACUGAGGCACGAAAGCGUGGGGAUCAAACAGGAUUAGAUACCCUGGUAGUCCACGCCCUAAACGAUGGAUACUCGACAUACGCGAUACACUGUGUGUGUCUGAGCGAAAGCAUUAAGUAUCCCACCUGGGAAGUACGACCGCAAGGUUGAAACUCAAAGG
rnacentral:rRNA from 1 species